GCUCAACAUGUUUUGUGAACCAUUUUGAACAUUGGGCACCAGUGUCGGGCACUCAGUCUGAACGAGCCUGGUGCCCAAUGUUCAAAAUGGUUCACAAAACAUGUUA